rnacentral:rRNA from 1 species
GAUGAACGCUAGCGACAGGCCUAACACAUGCAAGUCGAGGGGUAACAGGGAAGCUUGCUUCCGCUGACGACCGGCGCACGGGUGCGUAACGCGUAUGCAACCUGCCUUACACUGGGGGAUAGCCCGAAGAAAUUCGGAUUAAUACCCCAUAGCAAUGUCGAUUCGCAUGUUUCGACAUUUAAAACUCCGGUGGUGUAAGAUGGGCAUGCGUGACAUUAGAUAGUUGGUGAGGUAACGGCUCACCAAGUCAACGAUGUCUAGGGGUUCUGAGAGGAAGGUCCCCCACACUGGUACUGAGACACGGACCAGACUCCUACGGGAGGCAGCAGUGAGGAAUAUUGGUCAAUGGACGAAAGUCUGAACCAGCCAUGUCGCGUGAAGGAAGACGGUUCUAUGGAUUGUAAACUUCUUUUGUAUGGGAAGAAACCACUCUACGUGUAGGGUGUUGCCGGUACCAUACGAAUAAGCACCGGCUAACUCCGUGCCAGCCGCCGCAGUAACAC